rnacentral:tRNA from 1 species
GCCCGGGUGGUGGAAUUGGUAGACACAAGGGACUUAAAAUCCCUCGACAGAAAUGUUGUGCGGGUUCAAGUCCCGCCCUGGGCACCA